UACAAACAUUAAAGUCUUUAUAAUUUUAAAUAUGUAAUAAACAUAAUCAUCAAUCAAGUUUUUUGAAACAAACUAAUAAAACCAACAUCGUAAAAUAUAAAACAAACAUUAUCAAAAUAUAUAAUUAAACAUCUUCAAGUCUCUAAUCAAUCAAACAUAGAACAUAAUCUAAAUUAUAACUUAUUAUCUUCAAUUAUCAUCUUAAAUUACAAAAAAAAAACAAUGGGCCCACCGGGGAAGCUUCUCCUGCCUCGUCGAAACACGCCAAAGCCUGAAAAUUAGGCGGUGCGGGUUAGGCAGGCUUUUUAAUUAUGGUGGUUUCAAAUUUUUAGCCCAACCCGCCUUUAUGGCGAGUUACGUAGGCUAGCCCGGCGGGUUUCGACCCGUUUGCCACCCUUACAUGCUGCUAGUUGUAAUUUUAUUGAUCGUAAAUGUCGGAGCUUCAUCUAGAGAGAAACGAAACAUACUAGAAAAGUUCAUCUUGUCAAUUGGCGGACAGUGAGCAAGCCCAGGCCUUCGGGUGUACUAGGCAUUCGUCAUGCCAAGAAUAUGAACCAAGCUUUUAUGAUGAAAGUGCGCUAGGGGUUGAUUGAGAAAAAGGACUCCCUCUGGUAAAAAUUUCUGAGGGCUAAGUAUAGAUGUGGUAGUGACAUAAUUUCUCUCAUCAAUAGGAGGCAAAGAGUCUACUUUGUGGAAAGGCAUUUGCUCUUCGUGGAAAAACGCCCAAGCUAAUUCCAUCUAACACAUAUGAAAUGGGUCCAAAAUCAAGUUUUGGGACCAUAAUUGGGUACUGGAGUUUCGAGGCUUGAAUUGGCUUAACUCUUAGGUAAGUUCUGUUUUAGAUUCAGGAUCAUUCCUAACGGAUUUUCUUACUUUUUCAGGAGGAUGGGAUGUGGAAAAACUAAAGGACUGGCUUCCUGAGGAGGCAGUCCAAAAGAUUGUAGCCAUGUCACCGUCGUCUCCGUGGAAGGAAUGUGGUCAUAUUAUGUGAGCUAAGUCUUCUAACGGCACCUUCUCAAUGAAAACAACCUACAAUUCCCUGCAAGAACACCCGAGAGGCCAGAAUCGCAUAUUUAACCUUGUCUGGAAAUGGAGAGAUCCGAAAAGAAUCCAGUAUUUUUUGUGGUUAGUUGUGCAUGAUGCUAUAGUUAUCAAUGCAGAAAGGAGUAUAAGACACAUGUCUCAGACCUCCAUUUGUCCCCUUUGUUAGCAAACAAUUGAAAUAAUGCUGCAUGUUCUUUGUGACUGUCCUUUUGCAAGAUCGACCUAGAAUUUACUUCAAUCCCAAAACAGUAUCAGUAAUUUCUCUUCCCUUUAGCGUAAUGACUGGAUUUCUUGUAACCUUUUGAUACCUGGUGAGUGUUUGGUGCAUUUUGGGGUUGCAUUAUCUGCACUAUAGUAUGCGAGAAAUCAGUUUGUGUUUGAAAGAAAGUCUUCUAAUCCUAGAGGAGUUAUAGAGUCUAUCAAAAAUAGGGGCCACGAGUUUAAAACAGUAAUGAAGGCUAACAUUUCUCCAACGUAGUACAGUAAGGACAAUGAGCAGCUCAUCUGGUGGUACCCUCUUCUUGAAGGCUUCCUAAAAAUUAAUGUUGAUGUGGAUUUUUUUUCAAUCAAACUAGUAAUGCAGCUUGUGGCGGCAUAAUUCGCGAUCAUUUAGAAGGUUCAUCAAAAGUUUCUCGUGCAAUUUGGGAGGAUGAUAGAUCAUGCAAGUUGAACUUUAGGGCAUUAUUAAAGGCCUUCAUAUUGCACUUGCAAAUGAUAUUCAGAAUGUGAUUGUUGAAUCUGACUCAAAAAUGGCAAUUCAAUUCAUCGUCAAGGGUUGCCCAGUAUAGCAUUCCUGUGCAACUCUCAUUGAAGACAUUGUCAUUUUGGUGAAAGGAUAUCUCAGGUCCGUUGGAAUCACACUCUCCAUGAAGCAAACUCGGUGGCUGACUGUUUGGCGGAGAAAGGUCAAGAACUCCCCCACAGUCUUCAUUUGUUUGAUGCUCCCCCUCUUGACACAAUACAAACUAUUGAGUUAAUAGUCAAAAUCAUCCCCGAAAAAAACUUCGAUCUCCAUUUUCAUCCCUAAAAAAAUAAAUUAAUCAAAUUUGUCCUCAAAUAUUUUUUUUAAUCACGUUCAUCCCUAUGUUAGUUUCUUGACGCUGUUGUUAACCUGGAACGUGAAGUGAUAGUGCAGCAUAGCAAAUGACAUCGUUUUGCACUCUUCAUCUCUUGAACAAGUGUUCUCAUUCAUUCUUCUUCUCGCACCUCUAACUGAUAGAGAAGCCUCACUGCCGUUGCAUAGUGGUAUCGUCACCUCCGCUGUCGUUGUUCGAAGCCACCCCUGCACGCGAUUCUCGUUGCUCAAUCACUCUCUCAGAUGCCUUCUCCUUUUCUCACUCACACAUCGAGGAAGAAGGUUGCGCCAGGAGCUGGGCUUUGUGACCCAAUUGCCAGGAGCAUCGCUCUCCUCCCUUGCUUCUCUGCUCUAUCGUGACGUCAGUUCAGGGGAGAACGACAUCUAUGGCUAUGGAGUUGAUGGUUAUGGAAUUUCAGUACUGAGGAACAGAAUCAGCAAGGGAGAAGAUGGGUAAUAAGUGAAGGUUUUUGUGUUCACUCUCAAUGGCAGCUACAAGCACCGCUUAUGGAUCGGAAUGGAGUUAGUUGUUUGUGCGCGGCCAGAGUUCGAGCUUGGAACGUCAGCAUUGGAAGAACGGCAAGCUGCAGGAGCCGAUUAUGAAGGAUCAGGGGUGUAGUUAGGUUCCGGGUCGAGUGGGUGUUGAAUGACCCGUUUGCUAGCUAAUGGUGUUUUUGGUCCUCCUUAGCCUAGCACAAUCCAAAAAAAAAAAAAAAAAAACUGAAAUA